rnacentral:tRNA from 2 species
CGAUGCAUACGCGGGGCGCGGCGUCGGCCGCGCGCUGAUGGCCGCGCUCGUCGACGGCGCGGACCGCGCGCUCGGCCUGCGCCGCAUCGA